rnacentral:rRNA from 1 species
AAUGAACGUUGGCGGCGUGGAUUAGGCAUGCAAGUCGAGCGAGAACCCAGCAAUGGGGGACAGCGGCGAAAGGGACAGUAAUGUGUAGAUCAUCUGCCCUCAGGCCCGGGAUAGCUGCGGGAAACUGCAGGUAAUACCGGAUAAUAUCUCCGGAUCAAAGGUGUGAUUCCGCCUGGGGAUGAGUCUACAUCCUAUUAGCUUGUUGGUGGGGUAAUGGCCUACCAAGGCGAUGAUGGGUAGCGGGCGUGAGAGCACGACCCGCGUCAUUGGGACUGAGACACUGCCCAGACACGUACGGGUGGCUGCAGUCGAGAAUCUUCGGCAAUGGGCGCAAGCCUGACCGAGCGACGCCGCGUGCGGGAUGAAGGCCUUCGGGUUGUAAACCGCUGUCAGAGGGGAUGAAAUGCAGGUGGGUUCUCCCAUCUGUUUGACAUAGCCUCAGAGGAAGGACGGGCUAAGUUCGUGCCAGCAGCCGCAGUAAGAC